GGCCGAGCGGCUGAAGGCACCGGUUUGCUAAACCGGCGUACUGGUUAUACCGGUACCGCGGGUUCGAAUCCCGCC
rnacentral:tRNA from 1 species